rnacentral:lncRNA from 1 species
CUUAUAUAAAUCUUCAAAUUACUGAAUAAAUUUGCAAAUGGCACUCUUAAGCAAAACAUCCUUUUCUUUCCUAC